rnacentral:rRNA from 1 species
GACGAACGCUGGCGGCGUGCUUAACACAUGCAAGUCGAACGGAAAGGCCCUGCUUUUGUGGGGUGCUCGAGUGGCGAACGGGUGAGUAACACGUGAGUAACCUGCCCUUGACUUUGGGAUAACUUCAGGAAACUGGGGCUAAUACCGGAUAGGAGCUCCUGCUGCAUGGUGGGGGUUGGAAAGUUUCGGCGGUUGGGGAUGGACUCGCGGCUUAUCAGCUUGUUGGUGGGGUAGUGGCUUACCAAGGCUUUGACGGGUAGCCGGCCUGAGAGGGUGACCGGCAAAAUGGGGACUGAGAUACGGCCCAGACUCCUACGGGAGGCAGCAGUGGGGAAUAUUGCACAAUGGGCGGAAGCCUGAUGCAGCAACGCCGCGUGCGGGAUGACGGCCUUCGGGUUGUAAACCGCUUUCGCCUGUGACGAAGCGUGAGUGACGGUAAUGGGUAAAGAAGCACCGGCUAACUACGUG